rnacentral:rRNA from 1 species
UGGGGAAUAUUGGACAAUGGGCGGAAGCCUGAUCCAGCAACGCCGCGUGAGGGAUGACGGCCUUCGGGUUGUAAACCUCUUUCACCGAUGACGAAGCGCGAGUGACGGUAGUCGGAGAAGAAGCACCGGUCAACUACGUGCCAGCAGCCGCGGUAAUACGUAGGGUGCGAGCGUUGUCCGGAAUUAUUGGGCGUAAAGGGCUCGUAGGCGGUUUGUCGCGUCGGGAGUGAAAACCCAGGGCUUAACCCUGGGCUGGCUUUCGAUACGGGCAGACUAGAGGUAUGCAGGGGAGAACGGAAUUCCUGGUGUAGCGGUGAAAUGCGCAGAUAUCAGGAGGAACACCGGUGGCGAAGGCGGUUCUCUGGGCAUUACCUGACGCUGAGGAGCGAAAGUGUGGGGAGCGAACAGGAUUAGAUACCCUGGUAGUCCACACCGUAAACGUUGGGCGCUAGGUGUGGGGUCCAGUUCCACGGAUUCCGUGCCGCAGCUAACGCAUUAAGCGCCCGCCU